UUAAAUUUUGGGUCCUGCAUUGUUUGCCGAGAGCAAGCGGAUUUGCGUGGUUUUUAGUGCAGUGAAGGGCAGUUAUUAGUUUAAUUAUGGCGCACCUUUUUUCUGAUUUUAAAAUGGAGAAACGGAAGUGUUUUAGAUAUUAAGGAACACGUUUUGUGUAGCGUCAUCCACGAGGUUUUUUGAACGCGCGUGUGUGUGUGCGCGUGUGCUUCAAUAGAUGCCGGCAUAUUCGUUCCAGGAAAAAGUGUUUGUACCAGAAACGAAGCAGCCAGACUCAAAGACAAUUGAUUUUGUUGUGAGUAGUGUGUGUUUAAUUAUAUUUUAGAAAAUGGUGUCAUUGUAAUGAAAUACGUUUGUGAUGUGUGAGGGCAUGUUUGGCUAUUCAACAGAUUCGAUGCGAGGCCACCGGUUGAUUGUGUGUGGCCCGGAUAUUUCUUUUGGUGCGGAUCGCGGCCUCGUGCUCCGGUGAAAUAGAAUGAUUAUUGUGAGGUUAGAGGAGAGUAGUGCCCAGUUGAAAUGUACCGAACGAAAAUGCGGUUUAAUUUAUCAGAAUUGCGUUUUGCCGGUAAAUAGAUAUGCCGAGCAUUUUAAAAGCACGAGGGUCGUGUUGGGUUAUUUAUACAGCCUUUUCCAUGCCUUCAAUUCGCUACCUAGGUUGCCUCUAGAAGAAUAUUUGAGAAAUUUGUGACUAUUAUUUUCUGCCUUAAAUGCUUCUUAAUGAUGUUGAGCACUGGCGGAUUCCAAAGAGAGCUGCUUUAUGAUUGCAUUUUUAUUGAGAAAUCGACGAAGAGAAUGCCUGAACGUUGUGGAUACUUGCAGCAAGCAUUUAAUGAUGUCUUGCAUUUAAUCAUGGAACAUUUAAUGAAGUUUGGAAAUUGUUGAUAUUUGGUCCUCAGUCGGGAUUGGACUUUGGAUUCCUUUUCUUUCAGUCGUGAUCGAAAAAACGAGCGGGACACGGGUACCAAGAUGCUCUUAUGACGGAGCGUUUAUUAAUUUCACCUGAGCACACAAUUUUGUUUCCACAGAGCACGCACGUCCAUUUAUGGUGAGAGUCCAACCAGAAAGAAGAAUGGUAAUAGUGCUCGACUUUUCAGAACGGCUCAAGCUGGCCUGAUUUUAUACGCCACUGAAAACCGGAAUGUGAAAUUUAACUUGCUUCGUUAAACCGUUGCAAACACACGAUCGGUCGCCACAGUACUCCCCUUCUAGACUGGAGUUAUCGGUAGCGGAGCGGAAUGGUAACUCUACGUUGGGACCGCGUUUCUCCAGUCGAACAGUGUGGUUGUGGGGAUAGCGUCGUUGUGUUCCCCAGUCCGGGCGCUUCCUGUUGGUUAUCGUCUGAGGAUGACAUCGUCGGAGGAAUUUCCCGAUGUGUUCGUGUCAUGGUCUGCGAUGGGAUCCUCGUACCAUACGCUGGUUUCAGGUGAUCGAUGGACAUGACGGUAGGUUUCCCGUUGACCAUUAUUUGGAAAGACUUUGGUUUGCGUUCCAGUACUAGAUAAGGACCUUGGUAUGGAGGUGUUAAGGCGGGACGGACUCUUCGUUCAUUUCGCAGGAAGACGUGAAGACGUGAAGAUGCUGCCAGAUCAUAAUGUACAAACUUCUUUGGCUUGUCGUGCCAUGUUGACCAUGUUGGCUGAAUUCUUUCUAGGGUUUCGUUUAACGUUCGUCGAAACUCUGAGUGGUCGGAGAGCGUGACCUGUGGCUUGUCGUUGAGAAAUUCGGCAGGGAUACGUAAAGUUGUGCCAUAAACUAAUUCUGCUGGUGAUGCCUUAAUAUCAUUUUUGUACGAUGUGCGUAAACCAAGCAUGAUUAGUGGUAGUUGUUUAACCCAGUUGCUGUGGUCUUUACAGCAGAUGGCGCUCUUCAGUGUUCGAUGCCAUCGCUCUAUCAUCCCGUUCGCCUGCAGGUGAUACGCUGUAGUCCUGAUGUGCUGUGUUUCCAGAGCGACAGUGAGUUCUUUAAAUAGUGCUGACUCAAACUGUUUGCCCUGAUCGGUGGUGAUGUGGGUAGGUACUCCGAAGUGGGCAAUCCAGCCUCUCAUCAAUGCGUCUGCUACUGAAGAUGCAGAGAUGUCAGCAAUAGGAAUAGCUUGCGUCCAGGGGGUGAAACUGUCUAUGAUGGUUAAACAGUACCGGUAACCGCAGCUGACGGGGAGUGGUCCGAUUAUGUCCACGUUGAUAUGAGCAAACCUGCGCUCUGUCGUUGGAUAUGGUACCAACGGACUGUGUGUGUGACGUCCGAUUUUUGCGCGUUCACAGGGCUGGCAGGUGUGAACGAAUUCCGCAACCUCACGUCUCAUAUCUAACCAGACGAACCUUUCUGACACUGCUUUAAUCAUAAGUUGGAUUCCUGAAUGGCUUAGAUCGUGGACGUAGUGCAUUACCGUUUCUCUGAAGGCUUUCGUGACGUACGGUCGAAACAAACCCGUUGGACAGUCGUAGUAGAGUUUGCGUUUACUGCCUGGAAUCGCGACUUUUCGUAGGAGCAGAUCCGUCUUAAUUCUUCCUUCGAGUAUGUCACCCAGUUCUGGAUCUUGAGACUGCCUAUUGUUGCUAGCUCUGUUUAUCUUUUACACUGAUGUCGCUUGCAGUGUCUAACUGUAGGCAUAAUUCAAUAGUGUUUAUUUCGAUCAAUAUGUACUUACGCCGUUGCUCCGCUGAGCACUGGUUGACCUCCACUGCCUCGCUCUCUGUUAUCUGUGGAUGCUUGUCAUUAGAUUUUCGACACACUGAUUUUAUGUAGCCCUUCCUGCCACAUUUAUGACAUUCCUUCAUCCGAAAUGGACAAUCUCUGUACCAAUAUAACCUGCCACAUCCAUAACAUGGAUUCUUAGGUUUCUUUUCAGUUUCAUUUUUAUUUGAUUUCGGUAUUCUUUCUUGGAAUUGGCGCUUCUGUUGGCGAACAGCUGAAAUUUUCUCGCUGGGUCAGGUAGGUGUUGCUUCCAGCAUUGCAUUGUCACGACGCAAAUUUACAAUGCGCUGACAUUCGCUUGAUAAUUGCUGCAACGUAAUAUCCUCCCGUUCUUCGACCCGCAGCAAAAGCCUCGAGCGUAUUUCCGACUCUUUUUCUGCUCGUAAACCAUAUACAUAUACUAGGCAUUUGAACUGUUCUUCUGACAUCGGUCCUAUCUGAAAUUCAACGCAUGCCUUAUUGACCCUGCUCUCGAAUGCUGUGUAGUCCUCUCCCGGACGUUUUUAUAGUUGCUAGUUCAAACAUUCUAAUUGGUACUCUAUUUGCGAUCGAUGCGAUUCCACAAACAUGGUUUUAAACUCAACAAAUCGGUCUAUGCUAGCUAAUCUAUUAGCAUAUACCCGUGUUUGUUGCCUAAUAAUUUUGUCCGUAAUCAGCAUUGCCGAAAACUGUGCCUUUCACUGCAUUUGUUGACUUUCUGGGCCGCACUGUCCUGACGCCAAGCUAAAAUGGCACGCGUUAUCUUUUUUCCAAAAGUUGACUCGGUUCGAGGGUAUUGCCCACCGGCUCUCACUGAUCGUGCUUUACUCUCUAACCGUUGCACGUCGCUGUUGCGAGUAAUUUUUACCCACGGUUGAUCAAAUCACUCCUGAGGGGCUGCUGAAGCGUAUGAACAAAAAUCACUACUUUCUGCAGAUGCCAAAAAGGUUUUCCUCGAUCCGGUUCGAAGGACCAAUGUUCUCAAUAGCUCUUUUCUACUUUGUUUCAUAGUUUACUGUGUACUGUUCGUUUAUUCGAUACUUCAUUCUAAGUUCAGUUCACUCCAGUUCCUAGUUCAUUCGUUCACUUUAGGCAUAUACACGUGUAUUUGUGUAGUAUAUUCACGUAAAAAUGCGAUAAUUGCACUGUGAAGAGGCCCAAAAAACCCAAUUUGGUCGAUUUGAUCCUGAUCAUGUACGAACUGAGAAAUUCCGUCUGCUGCUAUGACCGAGCAGUCGAUGGCGUUUUUCUUUCGGAGCGUUGCUGUCACCAGGAGAUGCACUGAACUGGUCUUCCCAGAGUGGAGGGGGG